CCCUUAGAUGUCCGGGGCCGCACGCGCGCAACACUGAAGGAAUCAGCGUGGCUUUCUCCCUGACCCGAAAGGGUUGGGAAACCCGUUGAAUCUCCUUCGUGAUAGGGAUUGGGGCUUGAAAUUGUUCCCCAUGAACGAGGAAUUCCCAGUAAGCGCGAGUCAUAAGCUCGCGUUGAUUACGUCCCUGCCCUUUGUACACACCGCCCGUCGCUACUACCGAUUGAACGGUUUAGUGAGGGCCUCGGAUUGGUCUCGGCCCGCUCUUUACCGGGCGGCGCCGUUGGUCGAGAAGACGCUCGAACUUGAUCGUUUAGAGGAAGUAAAAGUCGUAACA
rnacentral:rRNA from 1 species